rnacentral:rRNA from 1 species
GACGAAGGAUGCAAGCGUUAUCCGGAUUCAUUGGGUUUAAAGGGUGCGUAGGCGGCCUUGUAAGUCAGUGGUGAAAUCUCCUCGCUUAACGAGGAAACUGCCAUUGAUACUGCAGGGCUUGAGUACAGUUGCUGUGGGCGGAAUAUGACAUGUAGUGGUGAAAUACAUAGAGAUGUCAUAGAACACCGAUUGCGAAGGCAGCUUACUACAUAGUUAUUGACACUGAGGCACGAAAGCGUGGGGAGCAAACAGG